rnacentral:rRNA from 1 species
CAGUAGCCACGGUAAUACGUAGGUGGCAAGCGUUGUCCGGAAUUAUUGGGCGUAAAGGGCUCGCAGGCGGUUUCUUAAGUCUGAUGUGAAAGCCCCCGGCUCAACCGGGGAGGGUCAUUGGAAACCGGGAAACUUGAGUGCGGAAGAGGAGUGUGGAAUUCCACGUGUAGCGGUGAAAUGCGUAGAGAUGUGGAGGAGCACCAGUGGCGAAGGCGACUCUCUGGUCUGUAACUGACGCUGAGGAGCGAAAGCGUGGGGAGCGAACAGGAUUAGAUACCCCCGUAGUCCCUGUCUCUUAUAC